UACAGAGGUCUCAAGCGUUGUUCGGAUUCAUUGGGCGUAAAGGGUGCGUAGGUGGCGUGGUAAGUCGGGUGUGAAAUUUCGGAGCUUAACUCCGAAACUGCAUUCGAUACUGCUGUGCUUGAGGACUGGAGAGGAGACUGGAAUUUACGGUGUAGCAGUGAAAUGCGUAGAGAUCGUAAGGAAGACCAGUGGCGAAGGCGGGUCUCUGGACAGUUCCUGACACUGAAGCACGAAGGCCAGGGGAGCAAACGGG
rnacentral:rRNA from 1 species